UGGGUUUUGUCAAUUGUUGAAGGUAGUAAUGAAACUGAUUACACAGUAUGUUUUUUUUCCUUGUUGAAGGCAGAAAUAUAACUGGUUAUACAGUAUGGGUUUUGUCCAUUGUUGAAGGCAGUAAUGAAACUGAUUUUUCAGUAAUGGUUUUGUUCAUUGUUGAAGGCAGUAACAUAACUGAUGAUACAGUAUGGGUUUUGUUCAUUGUUGAAGGCAUAAACAUAUUUAAUUAUACAGUAUGGGUUUUGUUCAUUGUUGAAGGCAGUAAUGUAGCUGAUUAUACAGUAUAGGUUUUGUUCAUU
rnacentral:lncRNA from 1 species